UAAGGAAAAGUAUAAGGGAAGUACGAAGAAUUUUGAUUUCUUAGGUGUAGGUUCAAUUCCUAUUUCUUUAG
rnacentral:tRNA from 1 species